rnacentral:tRNA from 1 species
GCUCCAGUAGCUCAGCGGUCAGAGCAUCGUGCUUAUAAGGUAACUGGAAAUCCCGGUUUGCUUAUGCAAAGAGCACAUCCGUUUAAGCAACGCGAUAGUCGUGGGUUCAAACCCCACCUGGAGCA